rnacentral:lncRNA from 1 species
CCAUUUGUACCAGUUCUAUUAUUUUUUAACAUGUAUAGUUGUAUGAGUUAUACUAGUUGUACCUAGUCGAAUGAGAGAAUGAAAUAAUGAAAAUCGUGUGGCUCUGAGUUAUUUAUGCGCCAGAUUAAAGAGGGGGGGGGAUGAUAGAGAAUGUGAGAUCUGUGAAAACGUGUGGCCAAGAUUAAAACAUAGAAAAAAUGAUCAAUGGCUCUGGUUGGAGUUUCAUUAAUGACAUUUUUGUAAAUAUAACAUUCUUCUUUUCUUCUUUUAAUCCGACGGUUCUGAUUUAUAGAAAGAUUAUAGAAUCCAAUGGUUGAUAUUAUUCAUUCAUUAAGGGUAAAAUGGUAGUUUACAAUCACUUGGUCCAUACAGAUUUUUUUUGGAUGUGUGAGACUUAUUUUUGGCCUUUUGGUCUAUUUCAGAUUUUAGUCUUUGACAAAGACAAGUCAAAAGAUAUAAUGUUUUUAUUUAUAGGCACUCAAAGUCUGAAACUGACCGACAC